GAUGCAAUGAUGAGAUUAAGCACUGAAUGUGUGUUAAGGGUAGUGGAGAGGGCCUGAAAGUCCUCGCCGUGAACCUUAUUAUGAAACGACUUCUCCUUCCACUGAGCACC